rnacentral:rRNA from 1 species
AUUGAACGCUGGCUGCAGGCCUAACACAUGCAAGUCGAACGAGUGGCGGACGGGUGAGUAAUGUCUGGGAAACUGCCCGAUGGAGGGGGCUAACUACUGGAAACGGUAGCUAAUACCGCAUACCAUCGGAUGUGCCCAGAUGGGAUUAGCUAGUAGUUGGGGUAACGGCUCACCUAGGCGACGAUCCCUAGCUGGUCUGAGAGAAUGACCAGCCACACUGGAACUGAGAAACGGUCCAGACUCCUACGGGAGGCAGCAGUGGGGAAUAUUGCACAAUGGGCGAAAGCCUGAUACAGCAAUGCCGCGUGUGUGAAGAAGGCCUUCGGGUUGUAAAGUACUUUCAGCGAGGAGGCGUUACUCGCAGAAGAAGCACCGGCUAACUCCGUGCCAGCAGCCGCGGUAAUUC